rnacentral:rRNA from 1 species
AUUGAACGCUGGCGGCAUGCCUUACACAUGCAAGUCGAACGGUAACAGGUCUUCGGAUGCUGACGAGUGGCGAACGGGUGAGUAAUACAUCGGAACGUGCCCGAGAGUGGGGGAUAACGAAGCGAAAGCUUUGCUAAUACCGCAUACGAUCUCAGGAUGAAAGCAGGGGACCGCAAGGCCUUACGCUCACGGAGCGGCCGAUGGCAGAUUAGGUAGUUGGUGGGAUAAAAGCUUACCAAGCCGACGAUCUGUAGCUGGUCUGAGAGGACGACCAGCCACACUGGGACUGAGACACGGCCCAGACUCCUACGGGAGGCAGCAGUGGGGAAUUUUGGACAAUGGGCGUAAGCCUGAUCCAGCCAUGCCGCGUGCAGGAUGAAGGCCUUCGGGUUGUAAACUGCUUUUGUACGGAACGAAAAGACUCUGGUUAAUACCUGGAGUCCAUGACGGUACCGUAAGAAUAAGCACCGGCUAACUACGUGCCAGCAGCCGCGGUAACAC